UAUUGACCCUGAUGCACAGGAAAAAACGCAUCUGGACAGACAGAAAACGCACGGGAGGGCUCUCCUCGAUGCGCACGGACUCCGCCGCGGCCGCUCUUCCUCUCCGACUCCGGCCAUCCGCAACCCUCUUCUCCUUCGCCUUGCUGCGUCCAGCGUAGGUCCCCGCCGCCGGCCCAAAACGGUGUCCUGGCCGCCGGCUCCCCGGUGCUCUCCACCUCCAUGGAAGUCCGGAUCUCGCCGCCGCCCCGAACUCUCCGGCUCGUCCCACCCUGAGGCAAGCCGCCCCUCCUCUCGGACACAUUGGAGCGACGUCUCACGCGCGAUGUCAGUGGACAAGACGGCCACCAUCAGCGUGGGGAGCAAUGGAUGUGGAAUAUCUGCUGUGGUGGUUCUCAUCUGGCCUUAGUUCCAGGUGCCUUGCACGAUGGUUGGUCUACAUUGAUGGAGAUGACUAUUUGAGCAGGGUGCUGUGCUGAGGAAACCAACAAGACAUGGAAAACGCUUAUAAUCACCUGACAGAUUACAGUUCCCGCGUCCGCCACUUCCCCUGCACUCCAGGUGCCCCAUGGGCUGGGGCUGCAUUUUAGUUUUGAUCAUAUAUGAACUUACAAGUUACAACCGUAAAGGUUGAACAACAUCGGUUCUUUUUUGAUGGAUUGAACAACAUCAACAAGAAGUUUCUUCCUCAGUUCCUCUUGUUUGGGAUGAUACAGAUGAGAUAGCCCAUCAGUUGGUCACAGGAGGAAACGACCACAAUGAGAAUCCUCUUAUAUUCAGGCAAGUACUAUUCCUACUUGACUGACGAACAUCAUAUCUGUAGUAUAUCUCUUUGCACACUGUUGGUUAUGUCGUAUUACUUCUGUGUGUGUUUUUUUGCA